ACGAACGCUGGCGGCGUGCCUAAUACAUGCAAGUAGAACGCUGAAGGAGGAGCUUGCUUCUCCGGAUGAGUUGCGAACGGGUGAGUAACGCGUAGGUAACCUGCCUGGUAGCGGGGGAUGACUAUUGGAAACGAUAGCUAAUACCGCAUAACAGUAGAUGUUGCAUGACAUUUGCUUAAAAGGUGCAAUUGCAUCACUACCAGAUGGACCUGCGUUGUAUUAGCUAGUUGGUGAGGUAACGGCUCACCAAGGCGACGAUACAUAGCCGACCUGAGAGGGUGAUCGGCCACACUGGGACUGAGACACGGCCCAGACUCCUACGGGAGGCAGCAGUAGGGAAUCUUCGGCAAUGGACGGAAGUCUGACCGAGCAACGCCGCGUGAGUGAAGAAGGUUUUCGGAUCGUAAAGCUCUGUUGUAAGAGAAGAACGAGUGUGAGAGUGGAAAGUUCACACUGUGACGGUAUCUUACCAGAAAGGGACGGCUAACUACGUG
rnacentral:rRNA from 1 species